GACGAACGCUGGCGGCGUGCCUAAUACAUGCAAGUCGAGCGAAGUUUUUCUGGUGCUUGCACCGGAAAAACUUAGCGGCGAACGGGUGAGUAACACGUAAAGAACCUGCCUUAUAGACUGGGACAACUGUUGGAAACGAUAGCUAAUACCGGAUAACAGCAUUAACUGCAUGGUUGAUGUUUGAAAGUUGGUUUUGCUAACACUAUGAGAUGGCUUUGCGGUGCAUUAGCUAGUUGGUGGGGUAAAGGCCUACCAAGGCGACGAUGCAUAGCCGACCUGAGAGGGUGAUCGGCCACACUGGGACUGAGACACGGCCCAGACUCCUACGGGAGGCAGCAGUAGGGAAUCUUCCGCAAUGGGCGAAAGCCUGACGGAGCAACGCCGCGUGAGUGAAGAAGGAUUUCGGUUCGUAAAGCUCUGUUGUUAGGGAAGAAUGAUUGUGUAGUAACUAUACACAGUAGAGACGGUACCUAACCAGAAAGCCACGGCUAACUACGUG
rnacentral:rRNA from 1 species